rnacentral:piRNA from 1 species
UGGGAUUAAAGGUGUGUGACACUGCUUGG